rnacentral:rRNA from 1 species
GACGGGAGGGGCAAGCGUUACCCGGAUUUACUGGGUGUAAAGGGUCCGCAGGCGGUUAGAUAAGUCGAACUUGAAAUCCUCUGGCUCAACCAGAGGAUGGGGUUCGAUACUGUCUGACUUCGAGUCUGGAGGAGGAAAACGGAACUGCCGGUGUAGCGGUGAAAUGUGUAGAUAUCGGCAGGAACACCAGUGGCGAAGGCAGUUUUCUAUUCCAGAACUGACGCUGAGGGACGAAAGCGUGGGGAGCGAUCGGGAUUAGAUACCCUCGUA